CCUACGGGUGGCAGCAGUGGGGAAUAUUGGGAAAUGGGCGCAAGCCUGACCCAGCAACGCCGCGUGAAGGAAGAAGGCUUUCGGGUUGUAAACUUCUUUUCUCAGGGACGAAGCAAGUGACGGUACCUGAGGAAUAAGCCACGGCUAACUACGUGCCAGCAGCCGCGGUAAUACGUAGGUGACAAGCGUUAUCCGGAUUUACUGGGUGUAAAGGGCGUGUAGGCGGGGACGCAAGUCAGAUGUGAAAACCACGGGCUCAACCUGUGACCUGCAUUUGAAACUGUGUUUCUUGAGUACAGGAGAGGCCGACGGAAUUCCUAGUGUAGCGGUGAAAGGCGUAGAUAUUAGGAGGAACACCAGUGGCGAAGGCGGUCUGCUGGACAGCAACUGACACUGAGGCGCGAAAGCGUGGGGAGCAAACAGGAUUAGAUACCCCAGUAGUC
rnacentral:rRNA from 1 species